AAUGCUUAGAGAAUAGAGUUUGAACUAAAUAAAUAUCAAAAAUGGCUUCACAAGGAAAACACAUAGAAGAGAAGGAAGAGAGAAAAGGAUGAAUGUGGAAGGAAUGAAGGCAAAGAUUGAAGGAAAGAUGAGAGGAAAGACCACCAUCCAUAGGAAAAAGAGAAAGCACACCUUGAGUUUGUUUACAGGACCAUCUGAGUUUCAAGUGACCACAAGACUGACCCACCUGUAAUCCCUGAUGAACAUUUUUGGAUGUAGGACAAAGCUACUCAUUGAUGUCAGAGGAUGCCCCAAUGGCAUAUUCAAAUCAACAUGACCACA